GUCCACGCCGUCAACGAUGAUAACUAGAUGUUGGGGAGUUUACUCCUUAGUAUCGAAGCUAACGCGUUAAGUUAUCCGCCUGGGGAGUACGGCCGCAAGGUUAAAACUCAAAGGAAUUGACGGGGGCCCGCACAAGCGGUGGAGCAUGCGGUUUAAUUCGAUGCAACGCGAAGAACCUUACCUACUCUUGACAUCCUCGGAAUCUUCUGGAAACAGAUGAGUGCCUUCGGGAACCGAGAGACAGGUGCUGCAUGGCUGUCGU
rnacentral:rRNA from 1 species